rnacentral:rRNA from 1 species
AUGACGACCGUUGUACACAGAUGCAUGCAUGUAAUUAUAUAUAUCGGUAUAAAUAGCAGCAUCUUAGAUAGAUUCACCGUCAGGCAGUCAGGCGUCGGCCAAAUCCACGAGGAGAGCUGUGUUGUUGUCCCCUUUCUCCACGGUGAAGGUCUUGAGCAUCUGCUUCCCCGUCGCGGUCGUGACCUCCACGACGUACCUGCCGUAGAAGCCCCUGAACUUGAAGUCGCCGUCGCCGUCGACGUUCCCGCGCGCGUCCGUCUUCCACUCCCUCUGCAGGUUGAGGAACAUCUGGCCGGCCUCGUUGACGGUGCCGUCGGCGUCGACGAGCCAGGCGUUCUCGCGCCACAUGGUGCCCUGCAAGAAGCCCCAGAAGACGAUGCCCUCCACCGCCGGGUGCGCGUAUGCCUCCCGGAGCACCACCUCCAGGUCCUUGGCGCGGAGGCUGACGUUGUACUCGGGCACGUCCAGCUCGGUGAACCAGAUGGGCACGCCGGUCUUGGCGAGCCUGUCGAUGGCGGCGCCGAUGACCUCCCCGACCGGGUUCUGCACGUGGCCCUGCAGCCCGAUGCCGCCCACCACGGCGCCGCGGCCCUGCAGCCACGCGACCUGCUUGGCGUACUUCUCCGGCGUCGCGUUGGGGUCGUUGCCGCGCUCGACGUUGUAGUCGUUGACGAAGAGCGCGGGCUCCGGGUCCAGGCGCGCCACCUCCUUGAACAUGUACGCCGGGAUGUCCUCGUCGCCGAGGCGGUCGCGGAAGAAGCGGCCGUGCAGCAUCUCGUUGUUGACGUCGUAGUGCUUGAACCUGCCGGCGUAGCGGGAGACGAGGCCCUCGAGGCGGCUCUGCAUGGCGGACCUGAGCUGGUCCCUGUUGAGGUUCUUGACCCACUGCUGCACAUCGCCGUCCACGGACCAGAAGACGCAGUGGCCGCGGACGUGCUUGCCCUGGCGGUCGCAGAAGGCGAGCAGCGCGUCGGCGUCGGCGUAGUUGAGCUGGCCCUGCUGCGCCUCGGUGUGGUACCACUUGAGCUCGUUCUCGAAGACGGCCCAGUCGAAGUGGUUGGUGAAGAAGUCGAGGAAGACCGGGUUGUGGAUGACGGACGUGUUGAUGCAUGUCCCGAAGGGGAAGGCGUUGUCCAACUGCACCACGCGCACGGACGCCGCCGCUCCCGCUCCCAGCUUCAGAAUCACGUCCCUCUUGCGCGCCUGCAUCAAUAA